rnacentral:rRNA from 1 species
AUUGAACGCUGGCGGCAUGCCUUACACAUGCAAGUCGAACGGCAGCACGGGGGCAACCCUGGUGGCGAGUGGCGAACGGGUGAGUAAUGCAUCGGAACGUGCCCUGGAGUGGGGGAUAACGUAGCGAAAGUUACGCUAAUACCGCAUAUUCUGUGAGCAGAAAAGCAGGGGAUCUUCGGACCUUGUGCUUUGGGAGCGGCCGAUGUCGGAUUAGCUAGUUGGUGAGGUAAAGGCUCACCAAGGCGACGAUCCGUAGCGGGUCUGAGAGGAUGAUCCGCCACACUGGAACUGAGACACGGUCCAGACUCCUACGGGUGGCAG